UUCACUCCACGCCCCCAGCACGUGACCGCCCCUCCCUCGGGGCGGCGAAAGAAAAAGCCGGCGAGCGAGACGGGCACGGGGCGCGAGCUGGUUCGCUAGAGGGCGCCUCUCUCGCAGCGAGGAAGGGCGGGGGAGCAGGUGAACCGGGAAGCAGCAAAGCUAGCCCCGCCCCGUUCACCUGCCUCAGGAAUUUGUGUGGCCCGAUCCUAGCGGUAUUUACUCGGGACAAGCGAGUCCCUUGUCAGGCAGCCUGAAAGAGGCAAAAGGAAGAAACGGAGAAUACCAUAUCCUUGGCAGCUUUAAAUGGCUCUGCCCAAUUCAAUCAGUGGCAAGGACUGCUCUGUUGUUCUGUAUAUCAGUUUACCUCCUCAGGCAGAACAACCACCAGCGGCAGUGAGAGUAGCACUGGCAGUUGGCCUGUCAUCACCAUCACAACAGGUCGUAUGUCCCCAGGUCCACCUAACACCUACCGUAUGAAACCGCCCCACAAACACCAUGACCGGGAAUCCAACAGAACCACCACCAGCCUACCAGAAUUCAGAUUCACUCUGGCCCAGAUCUGUGGAUUUGUGGUAACGAUCAAGAAGACGUAUGGAUCCUUUGGAGGUCUCUGGGUGUAACCCUGUUCCCCACUCAACUGGUCACAGCAGCAAUAAAUCACAGCAACAGCACCCAAUACAGAGAACAAACAUGGCAUCAUAGUUCAAACUGCAUAUUAACAAGACACUUCUAGCAGUAUACUAAGAGUAUCAGUCUGGUAUUCAAGGAAUAACAAAACAAGUCCUUUGAUGCACCAGGAUUUUAAUAGAAAUACAGUUGAAUAAACGCAGAUAUCAGGGGAAAGAUCUCCCAUUAGCUUAAAGCACUGCAAAAAAAAGCUCUAUGUCUGUCUUUAAGAAGAACAAAGGAUUCAAGAUGUGGAGAUCUGCAAACACAAGGCCAAGUGAGGAUAUAGCUGAAGCAGCACAAGAAAACUAGACUAUUAAAGCACUGUGGUUAUGCAGACUGCAAAUAACACAUUCCAAAGGGGUUAGGGUCCAAGUGUUAGUGUAACUAUUUUGUGACUUGGAAUAUCGUCUCUGUUUUUACUAAUGCAAAUAUCUCAGACAUGCUUAUUUCUUCCUUGUAUUGAAAAUCACUGUUAGGUUCUACCAUACAUUCAAACUAGGUAGCUGCCUGGGGUGGCAUCAUUCAAGGUGUUCACCAAAGUGGAGGUUGGGGCACAGUCACCAUUGGACAAAGGACGGGGAAAAAUGUCCCUGGGCCAGCAGGGUUGGGGUGGCCGCCAGCAUUCUCUCUAAUUUUUUUCAUCUGUGUGCGGAAUGAGUUUUGUUCUGGGCGGCAAUAUCAAAGCAAUGUGUGUGCAUGUGCAUUCAGAAUGGGCCUUCCUGAUUCAACCUGAGUGGGAUCUAAAAUUAACUGAGCGGACAUCCAAAAACUUGUGAGUGUGCACAUGUGCGCACACCUUAGAGGGAACACUGGUGGUCACCAUUGCACCCUCCUGUCCUCCUCCUCCUCCUGUACACAGCCGGUUAACAAAGUGCUACCAACUGGGAAUGCAAGGCACAACCCCUCUCCUUCCCAGUUGGUGCUUCAUUCAAGCGCCGACUGGGUGCUUUAUUUCUCUGCAUCAAGCGAGACAAAGAAAGAAGCACCCAGAUGGCCCUUGGUUCCCAGUUGGCACUUUGUUCAAGUACUAGCCGAGUGCUUUCUUUCUCUGCAUCGCUUCAAGCACCAACUGGGAAGGAGUGGGAGAGGGGCUGCGGAGCCCCUCUUUCUGACAUGGACCAUGUCCCCAGCAUCUGAGAUUGAUACAGGGUGUGUGGCUGGUUCUCACACGGUAGUGCGUGCAGCAAAAAUUGGGAAAAGGCCACCGGCAAGCUCCCUACACCCCUGGUGGAGGCAGUGGAUGACACCAGGUCCUGCACUACUUUUGGCAUGGCCAGCUCCCUGUACAAAUGGAGAGUUGUGAAGCAGUCUCCUGAUGUGCCUGGGUGGUGAAGGAAGGAAGGAGCCACCGUUAAAAGCCAAGAAAAAUGACAAAUGCAGAUUGCAACAAAUAACUUCUGUAUCAAAGAGAAGUGCUAAAAAAUAACAAGGCAUUAAUAGUUGGCUUUAUAGUUGUAACAUUUUUGUCCCGAGUAUAAUCUCAUAAACACAUGCAAGAAAGAAGAAUAUAGUUGUCAAUCACAGCAGUGGUUUUUGUGGGAAUAAACCUUCAUCUGUCAAUUUAAGGUUCAGAUCCCGAUCUGGUUGGUGCACAGAAAAACUAUGGUCAUCUACAUCAUCUUCAAUGCCUGACCCAAGAUCUGAUUCAAUUUCAUUUCCUGAUCCAUAUUCAUCUCCAGAAAAUGCAGCAGUAUCUGGGUGGAACUGAAGUUUCUUCAUCCUGAAACACAGUAUAAAAUCAUAAACUUUGGACAGAGGAUCAGACUCAUCAAGACCUUCCUUGCCAAAAAAUAAGAUGGUGGAACAAAAUGAAUCAGCUUUGUGAACUAUUUUAUAUGGUCUGCCUGCUCCACAUACUAAGCUACUGAUACAGCAUGCUUGUAGAAGCCUUUGCAGAGUUCCUUUCCAGGAAUACACAAAGAUGAGAUUAAAAAGGAGCUCUCUGCCUGCUGGCAUCUAUGCAGUCUCUUUCUUGCAGUAGACAGGUUCUUCACCUGCCACCCCAUUAAAAACGCAUUUUGUAUAUUUAUUUAUAUUUUACUUAAAAUAUUUAUAUACCACCCAAAACCUGCAUCUCUCAUAUUUGUAGCCAAAUAUUGUAUACAUCCAAUUGUCACUGGACAUUUAAGAUGGGAAGAGGCCCUAAACACUGCUGACAUGAUCCAGCUAAACUUAAGCAUUCUUACAACCCACUGUUUUCAACAGAACCGUUAAACACAUGUUGAUAUCUUUCCAGCUUAAAUCGGUGGGAUUUAAAAAUACACAUAUUUGGCUAGAUUGUGCCCUCUCUAUGUGUUUAGAAACUGAAUUAUGUGCUGUCUUGAAAUGAGCAGACUCUGUUGUGAAUUUGGAUAUGUGAUCCUUAGGAGUACGUUAACAUCUCAGCAGUAUUAGUGUUUGCAUUGGGAAAUAUUUUAUUUAUUUAUGUAUUUAUUUAUAAAUAAAUAAAUAAAUAUUAUUCAUAUUAUUAUUUAUAAAUAAUAUCUAUAAUAUUUAUUUAAUCUAAUUAUUUAUUUUAUUUAAUUGAUUAUUUGAUCUAGUUAUUUUAAUUAUUUAAUUUAAAUAAUUAAAUGAUUUAAAUAAAAUAAUCAAAUUAAAUAAUCAAAUUUAAAUUAUUAAAUUAUGUAAUUUAAUUGUUUAUAAUAUUUAAAUAAUAAUUAUUAUUAUUUAUAAAUAAUAUUUGCAAAUAUAAUAAAUAAAUAAAUAAAUCACCACACUCCUAGUCA